rnacentral:lncRNA from 1 species
GUCUUGGCAAGUAGGACCGGGUUAGCAGGAUAGGGACUCGGCGAGUCUCGGCCAUGACUCGGUGAGUCCAGUCAACUGGAAGUUGACUUUGACCAAGGAGUUGACCUUGGACCAGGGGUGGGUCAGUCAUUUGACCUAAGGGUAUUUAUGAGUGGCUAAUCUAUGUUUAUGGAUUUAUAGCCGGAGGAUUACCGGUGCAGCAGUCAGACGUCCAGCAGUUAGACUUUUGGUAGCUACUUUUCGAGGUGAGUUUCCUUCCAGUAGGAACGGGUCUAAGGCACCAAGGCCGGCCCGUAUAGACGAUAUGUUAGUAUCGGAGUGUGGGCAGAGCCCGUAUCUCNNNNNNNNNNNNNNNNNNNNNNNNNNNNNNNNNNNNNNNNNNNNNNNNNNNNNNNNNNNNNNNNNNNNNNNNNNNNNNNNNNNNNNNNNNNNNNNNNNNNNNNNNNNNNNNNNNNNNNNNNNNNNNNNNNNNNNNNNNNNNNNNNNNNNNNNNNNNNNNNNNNNNNNNNNNNNNNNNNNNNNNNNNNNNNNNNNNNNNNNNNNNNNNNNNNNNNNNNNNNNNNNNNNNNNNNNNNNNAGCACCCCAGAACGGCUUGACAUGGGUAGUCAGCACCCUAGAAUGGCUUGACACGGGCAGGACGGCACCCCAGAAUGGCCGCAUGGGUAGGUCGGGCACCCCAGAAUUGCCUGGCAGUAUGUAUGUUAUGUGGUUAUAUGGUAUGUGGUACAGUGGGGGAACUCACUAAGCUUCAUGCUUACAGUUUAUAGUUUUGGUUUCAGGUACCUCUUCGGUGAAGGGGAAGGAGCUGGCGCGUUAGCAGCACAUCAUACACACAUCUUGUUUUCCGCACUAUGAGAUUAUUCUUGGAUUUGUACUCUGACACUAUGAUUGAUUUCAUGUUUUAGUUUUCAGACACGUAAUAUGUUUUAAGGAAGCGAUAUGAUCGAAUGUUGUUUGUUUUCAAAUGUUUUGCAAAGUGUUUAAUAAAAAAUGAAAUUUUUUAUGACAACCCCAAAUCUAAUUCCGUUACAAAUCUCAUUUUCACUAACGGAACGUGUCAUUAUACGUUAUUUUAUGUAAUAUUUGGCAUCGUCAAUAUCCAAAUAUCUAAAUUUAUGCAUGGCUUAAUAUCAUCAUGAGAAAUAUAACUCGUAUGUGUUAACCCCGUUUAACCUAAUAGAGUUGUAUUACCUUUUCAACCACUUCACCCGGGUAAAAAGUUUUAACCCAGUUAACUUUAAACAUCGGGUAGCCGUGUAUCGGGUGCGAUUCCCGAGACAUAUGCAAUGGGUGUGCACAACAUUUGAACACUCAUUUGCUACACACCCACUCUCUCUCUCUACUUUCUCUCUCUAGACUCGAAAUCGACCCCGAUUCCGCUAAUUUCCGACUUCCAAACGUAAGUACUCACCCUCUAUCUUAUUCUAGUCAUACUUCAUUGCAUUUGAGGGCCAAAAUCAUAGGAAUCAAGGUCCAAAGAGGAGUUUACGGCCUAAGAAGCUCCUUAGGCCGUAAACCCCCAAAACCAAGCCAAAGACCAAGUUUUUCCUUCUUGUAAGUUAGUAUACUAAUUAAGGCUUAUAACUAGAAGAGUUUGGACUUUAAAACACAAGAAAAUGAUGCUUAAAAAGGAGUUUACGGCCCAAGCUUGUGCUUAGGCCGUAAACACCUCAAACACCCCAUAAAUCUAUGUUUUAAGCCCCAAAAACACUUCUAGGAUGUUUGGCAAAUUAGACUUGACUCCAAGGAACACUUAAAUGCAUCAAACAACUCCAUUUGAGGCCAAAAAGAGGAGUUUACGGCCUAGCUUAAGCUUGGGCCGUAAACACCCAAGAAAUUGUGUCAAACAAGUCCUUAAACUACCCUAAUGCAUGAAAGGAAUUUAUCUAAGGCCUUUGGAAGUGUGUUGUACCAUAAAACACCUCAUUUUGAUACCAAAUGAAGAGUUUACGGCCAAGGAUGUUCUUGGGCCGUAAACUCCCCAAAAAUUCAUGCCAAAUUGUUCCAAACUCACUAUAGGGCCUUCUAGGAUUUUUCUAAGCCAUUUGGGACCAUGUUGUACAAGUAAAACCUACAUCUUGAAGGGUCUAUAGGAGUUUACGGCCCAAGAACAAGUCUUGGCCGUAAACUCCCUAAAAAUGACACAAAUUAUGAUGUUUAAUCCUUCCCUCUUGGUCCAAAACACACACCACUAAAUUAAGGAAGUGAGAUAAGGCCCUAAACACACAUUUUGGAGUGUCACAAGAGUUUACGGCCAAGCCUAGGGGGCUUACGGCCGUAAACUCCCAAAGAAUGGCUUUUAGGCCAUAAACUCUAAGAGAGUGAACUCAAGGACCCUCCCGUAAAUCAUCCAUGGCCUUGUACCACUCCCGGGAACCCUUUCUAGGCCUUAAAACCCCGAAAACGACACUAGAAUGUCCAAAUACUAUAAUGAAAAGCAUAAGAUGAUUAACUUCUUGUAAAAUACAUAUUUCAUAUGACAUUAGGGUCCUAAAAGGUGCUCAAGUGGUUAUUUGGUACCAAACGCUCAAUCGACACUAUUACCCGAUUUACCCGAUUCACCCGAUUUCCGCGAUUUCAGGUGAGUUCAUACCCCUUUAAUGAACCUUUCAAGUGUUUUACAUGUUUUAGGGGGGAGAUACAAGUUGCUUAUAAAUGUUUAUGUAAAGUUUUACAGAACGAUUUCCGAGUUACAAGGAUUAAUCACAUGUGAUUCACUACUCUUAGUUCAAAUCACAUGUGAUUUGUCCCUAUGCCUUAAAAACGGGUUUUACCCUUUUCAAACUAUUUUUAAACAGUGAAUCAGAAUUUAAAUGUUCUUUUGGAAAAAUACUUUUAUUUAAUCAAUUUGCUUAUAAAAUGUAACCACUCUGAUAUAUUUAUAUAAAUAAGACUUGGAGGACUUAGGACCGAUAUCUCGCCUUAUUUCCUGUUCUUGUUUGAUUGUGGGCUUAGGGUAGUAGUUAUCCGUCCGACUGUCGUUGAUUUCUUACUUAUAUAAAAUCUGUAUAUCAGUAUGGGAUACGAAUAUUACUGCUUUCACUUAAUGCUAAAGUCACUAACGUGCUAAGAAACAUCCCCACUAAGAUAACCAUAAUAGGUAUGGUUAGGGUCGCUACCGCUACUACUCGCUAAAGUUAUUACUAUCUACACUAUAAUACUCACUAUUACUAGACGAUACACUAGUAAGAGAAUACACUAUGAUCAAUACUAAAAGAUUACUACACUAUAACAAUAGAGAAAACACUAAACAAACAAUAAUACACUAACCCGCUACGAGAUACUCUAUUCGCUAUUCACUACGCCCGGAGUGUUCCAGCAGGAGACGACUCUACAUGUAUAGAUCUAUACGGGGCAGACGCUAUUACAUCCCGACUGUUAACCUCAGUCCGCGCCGUGCAGGCCCAGGGAUGCCACUACUCACUAUACUGUGCAUGACCGGGAAGGUCAUGGGAUCCUCUAUUAUCCUCACUAUUAGUAAUAUACAAGGAAUACGCUACAACUACUCUAAAAUACCACACUAAAUGCUAAACUGCAUCCCGAAGUAAGUAAGUAUCUAUCACUAAAGGAAGCUUGCACCUCUAUCACUGAUUACAGGCUCAACCUAUUCCAUCACACUUGUUAUUUGGAGAUUUGCCAAGGUAUUUUUAAAAUAAACUGUUUUCAAAGGAAUAAAGAAUGCAUAAUUUUCACAGAUUGUCACUUACAAUGUAUUUCCUGGAAAAUAUGGGAUUUUCUAAGUUUCUACUACUUAUGAACAUAAAUGAUACAUCUUUAACACUAAUGCUUUGUAUACAAAAACUCACACUAAACUCUUAUGAACUCACCAGCUUUAUGCUGAUAAUUGUUUUCAAAAUAACUUGUAUCUUCAGGACAAAGAUAGACAGGUACAGACGCGGCAUUUUUGGAGAAGGUGGAGCACACAAGACCCAUCUCUUAUUUUUGAUUUACUUUUGGGUGAUUGUUAAACAUUACAAAAUACGCAUGUAAUUAAAUUCACUAUGUAAUACUAUGGUUGUAUGUUUCUUGUUUCUACUAUUAUGCAAUUGUGAUGAUACUGUUCACUACGUCAUCCACCCCGAAACGUAUUCUGCCGUUAUCGGUUUUGGGGUGUGACAUUUUUGGACUUAAAAAUUGGGUCGUUACAAGUUGGUAUCAGAGCCCUGGUUUAAGGUAUUCGGACACAGCUUCGGGGUUGUCUGGACUCAAAUCAAGGGACUAAAGGAUUUCGAAAAGGAAAAAGUUUCUAAAAGUUUAAGUAAAGAGUUAUAAGAAGGAACAAAGUGUGUGAUGUGCGUGACCAGCCAAGCUCAAGUAAGUAUUCCCCAAAGUACCCAUACAAGUUUAUGUUAUGUUUAAUAGUUUCAGUAGAACAACAUGCUAGAAUAGGACUAAGUAUCUAGGAGUGAUGCCUUAUGUGCCUGCUUUAUGUGCUUCAGCUUAUGAGAAUUGCAUGCUAGUAAUGAGUAGACAGCAGUUGGAUAGCCUGUUUAGGUUAUGCCUGACAGUAUGAGUUUAGCAUUGUAUGCUAGUUCAGUUUCUCUCUAUGAGAAUGGAAUUGCUUGAGAUUGUUCCCUUUUGUCUGAAUGUUGAUUGCUUUGUGCUUUGUGGGACCCUGAGUGAUGGGAGUUAGCCAUUAGUUGAAUACGUCACGUCACAUGUGAUCAGGGUUGAAUAAUCUUAGAGUGCUGGAUUUGACCCUAUUAUGCAGCUCUUAUUUGAGUCUAAUCGUUGUAGCGACGAGUCUGUUACUCGAAGGAUUAUCUGAGCCUCAUCACAUGUGAUGGUAUUCAGGUAAUGGCUAAUUGGCAUUACAAGGAGGUCUUCAGCAGCUGAGGAUCCGAGUAGGGUGGAGUCAGAGGUUUCCAUAGGGUAAGCCUAGGAUGAAUGUAGCGGAGAUCAGCAGUGGUAAAAGGGAUCUGGUGGGGUCAAGGCAGUCCUUGAAGAAGCUACGGAUAGAUGUGGAAGGUAGUAUGGGCCCGUACUACUGAAAGCAGAGGAUCCGUACCCGAACCGAGGAAGGCCAAGAUAAGACCAGGGAACUUGUAGUAGAUGUGAUCCCUUAAGAAGUAUCAGUAUCACUAACGGUUGUUAUUUAUGUAUUGCAAAAUGGUGGUACUACGCUCAAGGCCAGUAGUUGGCAGUUCAGGAGAGGAAUCGUGUUCGGGAUCAGGUUCCGAGCCAGUAGAUGAGGGGCUACGCGAGUUCAUCGCGUUAGAGAUCACCAGGGGCAUCCUUGAGUCGACCCCCAUUAUAUUUGGGUCGAUCAAGGAAGGGAUAGUUGAGUUGAUGGAGGAUCGCCUCAGGGCAUUUAGGAGCGACAUGGCAUCUGGCCAGUCGGGAUCUCGCACACUGUCCUUUACAGACUUCAGGGGCAGUUGUGCGCCGGAUUUUCACGGGGCGAAGGACCCCAUAGCUACCAGGCGAUGGAUUACAGACAUCGAGUAUGCACAGUUGACUAGCUUCUGCCCCGAGGGGUCGAAGGUGAGGUUCACAGUUGGGUGUUUACGAGACCAAGCCAGACAUUGGUGGGAGUCCGUCGGUGACUCGUUGGGAGCCUCGGCUAUUGAGGCUAUGACCUGGUUCAAGGCAGAGUUUGUGCCGGCUGUCGAGCUCAAGCAGCUGGCCAGGAAGUUUUUAGAUAUGAGGGAGACGACGGAGACUAUGGCGGAGAACACCGCUAAGUUCCAAGAGAGGGCGUUGUUGGUUCCCCAAUACGCGGGUGAUGAGGAUAUGAAGAGGACCCGCUACCAUGACAUGCUACGAGCUGAUAUUCGGGAGCAUGUCAAUUUUUCCGCUUGCCCUACUCUGGAGUCCAUGAUUGUCGAGGCAAAGGAGAGGGAGAUUGAUUUGGAGCAUAUCCGAAAGAGGAAGGGUGAGGAGGGGCUGGUGACUGGGGCUUCGGGGAAGAAGCCCAAGGGAUCAGAUGGUAGGCCGAAAGGCCAAGGAGGAUCGGGCCGCUGCAAGAAAUGUAGCAAGCCACACGAGGGAGCAUGUAGAUUGGGAACGUCGGGCUGCUACAAGUGCGGCAAGACGGGGCACUUUAGUAGGGAUUGUACUGCCCCUGCACCGGUUAUUCAGAUGUCUGAGUUUCUAUGUUUCCACUGCAACUAGAGGGCCACAAGAAGGCCAACUGCCCCCAGUUGACAGCAGCAGCGCUAGUGAAGGCGCCAGCUCCAGCAACCCUGCGAAUUACUGAUGGCCGGCAGGGCAAGGCAGAGGCUCCAAUGGUGAGGAGCCGGGCAUUUCAGCCGACUAUCGAGGAGGCGCGCACCGCACCCGAUGUGGUGACGCGUAUGAUUCUUUCCUCUAUUUUAUUUAUAUGAUGUUAUGAAAUUGAUAUGUGCUCUGUGUGUGUGUGUAUAUAUAUAUAUAUAUAUAUAUAUAUAUAUGUGUGUGUGUGUGUGUGUGUGUGUGUGUGUUAGGAUCGUUCCAUGUGAACGGUAUCCCAGUUCAGGUGUUGUUUGACUCGGGUGCCACUCGAUCGUUUGUUUCUCUUGCGCUUAGCAAGAAGUUUACUGAGUCUUCGGGCAUGUUGGAUUGCCCUUUAAAGGUAGAGAUUGCCGAUGAUCGAUCGGUGCGAGCAUCAACAGUGUUCAGAGAUGGUGUUCUAAGGUUGUUUGAGGAGCGCUACUUGGUGGAUUUGGUUCUUAUUCCGUUGCGUGGGAACAAGGUGAUUAUAGGCAUGGAUUGGUUGAGCCCUAAUGGGGCGGUGAUAGAUUGCGCACAGCAGCUGGCGCAGGUCAGGACCCUAAGUGGGGGAGAAUUGGUAAUCCACGGCGAGAGGCCACAGCAUGGACCUACAGUAUGUUCAGCAGCGAGAGCUAGGUGCUACCUUCAAAAGGGUUGCGCGGGAUAUGUCACGUAUGUUAUGGACAUCCGGGAGGUGGGUAAGGCGAUGGUGAGCGAGGUUCCGGUGGUGCGAGACUACGCUGAUGUGUUCCCAGAGGAGCUUCCUGGAAUACCUCCGGAGCGACAGGUAGAGUUCAGGAUCGACCAAGGCACCGUACCGAUUGGCUCCUCCCGAGAUGUAGGAGUUGUCUACACAGCUGCAGGAGCUAUUAGACAAGGGAUUCAUUAGACUGAGCAGUUCACCCUGAGGAGCCCCGAUUCUGUUUGUGAAGAAGAAGGACGGGUCGCAUCGGAUGUGUAUGUUUUAUCGGGAGCUGAACAAGGUAACGGUGAAGAACCGUUACCCACUCUCGAGGAUUGGUGAUCUCUUUGACCAGUUACAGGGAGCAUCUUGGUUCUCCAAGAUCGAUUUGCGUUCAGGUUAUCAUCAGUUGAGGGUCAGAGAGGAGGAUGUGAAGAAGACCGCGUUUCGGACGCGCUAUGACCAUUAUGAGUCCGUGGUGAUGUCGUUUGGGCUCACAAUCCUCCUGCCACAUUCAUGGACCUCAUGAACCGCGUGUGCAGACCGAUGUUGGAUCGGUCUGUGAUAGUUUUCAUUGAUGACAUCUUGGUUUAUUCCAAGAUGCAGGAGGAGCACAAGGAGCAUCUGAGAGAGGUUUUGGAGACCCUGAGGAGGGAGAGCUUGUAUGCUAAGUUCUCCAAAUGCGAGUUUUGGUUGCGCGAGGUGCAAUUCCUUGGGCACCUUGUCAACCAGAACGGUAUACUGGUCGACCCGGCCAAGAUAGAGGAAGUGAUGAGAUAUGAGGUUCCGAAGUCUCCACCCGAGAUUCGGAGUUUCUUGGGAUUAGCGGGCUACUAUCGGAGAUUCAUUCAGGACUUCUCCAAGAUAGUCUAACCCUGACAUGGUUGAUUAAGAAAGUCGUGGUCUUUCGAUGGGGGGGGGGGCCUGAGCAGCAGGCACCAUUUGAGAUUCUGAGACAGAGAUUGUGUGAGGCGCCAAUCUUAGCCCUGCCAGAGGGCGUAGAGCAUUUCGUGGUAUACUGUGACGCGUCUAUUUUAGGGUUGGGCACGGUACUGAUGCUGAGAGGGCAUGUCAUUGCCUACGCUUCGAGGCAGCUGAAGCCUCACGAGGCGAACUACCCAACACACGAUUUAGAGUUGGGGGCGGUGGUCUUCGCCCUCAAGAUUUGGCGACAUUACCUCUAUGGGGUUCGGUGUACCAUUUACACGGACCACAAGAGUUUGAGGUACCUCAUGGAUCAGCCGAAUCUGAACAUGAGACAACGCCGAUGGUUGGACGUGGUGAAGGAUUAUGAUUGCGAGAUCCUUUAUCACCCAGGGAAGGCCAAUGUGGUGGCCGAUGCGCUUAAUCGUAAGGCAGCGCCGAUUAGAGGCGUGUGCAUGAGGAUGACGGUAGUGACUCCCCUAUUAGAGCAUAUUCGGGAAGCUCAGCAGGAGGCUAUGAAGGAGGAACAUCGGAAGAUUGAGCGUAUAGUGGGUCAAGUCACCUCCUUCGAUUAUGAUAGCCGAGGGUUAUUGACACUACACCGUAGGGUGUGGGUGCCGUAUCACGGAGGCAUGCGCCAGGUCUUGAUGGAGGCGCACAAAUCCCGAUUCUCCAUUCAUCCCGGGGGGAACGAAGAUGUAUAGGGAUCUUCGUCUAAACUAUUGGCGGCCCUGCAUGAAGCGGGAUGUGGCUUGGUACGUCGAGCGGUGCUUGACCUACAGGAAGGUCAAGGCCGAGCAUCAGAGACCGCACGACAAGAUGCAUCCGUUGGAUAUCCCGUUGUGGAAAUGGGAAGAUAUUACGAUGGAUUUUAUCACAAAGCUUCCCAGGACCGCGCAAGGAGUGGAUUCUAUAUGGGUCAUCGUGGAUCGAUUGACCAAUAGCGCCCAUUAUAUUCCGAUUCAAGAGAGUAUCUCGGCCGAGAAGUUGGCCGACAUCUAUAUCAGGGAGAUAGUGGUGCGGCACGGACUGCCAGUAUCAGUGAUUUCAGACAGGGAUGUGCGUUUUACUUCUAGGUUUUGGAAGAAGUUUCAUGAUGAGUUGGGCACUCGUCUGCAUUUUAGCACCGCCUUUUACCUACAGACGGAUGGUCAGAGUGAGCGGACCAUCCAGACUCUUGAGGAUAUGUUGCAGGCAUGCGUGCUAGAUUUCGGUGGUAGUUGGGAUACCUAUCUUCCUCUAGUUGAGUUCUCAUACAACAACAGCUACCACGCGAGUAUUGACCGUCCUCCCUUCAAGAUGUUGUACGGGCGGAGGUGCAGGACCCCGAUAUGUUGGGGUGAAGGUGGCCAGAGGGUAAUGGGGAGCACCGAAGUGGUACUCAAGAUGACCGAGAGGGUUCAACAGGUUCGGAGCAGGCUUCAGACUGCACAGAGUUGGCAGAAAAGUUAUGCCGACAAGCACCGUUUAGACUUGGAAUUCCAAGUCGGGGAUAUGGUUCUUUUGAAGGUGUCUCCAUGGAAAGGCUUCAUCCGAUUCAGAAAGCAAGACAAGUUGGGCCCAAGGUACAUCAGGAUUCAGGGUUGUAGCCCGGGUGGGCAAGGUAGCGUAUAGGUUGGAUCUGCCAGCCAAACUCAGCCAGAUCCACAACACUUUCCACGUCUCUCAGUUGCGGAAGUGUCUGGUGGACGACUCAGCCGUGGUGCCUUCAGAGGAUAUUCAGGUCGACGAUAGCUUGAAUUACAUUGAGAGGCCAAUAGCAAUCCUCGACUGAAAGUCGAAGGAUUUGAGGAACAAGAGGGUGGAACUCGUGGAGGUGCAAUGGCAACACCGGAAGGGAUCGGAGUGGACUUGGGAGCCGGUGGAAGAUAUGAUGGAGCAUUACCCCGAGCUAUUUUAGGGUCGAGCAGCAGACUUCGAGGACGAAGUCUAAAAUAAGUGGGGGAGAUUUGUAGCACCUGGUUCCUGGUACGUAUUUCUUGUAAUUAAUAUUCUUUAAAUAAUGCAUUUUUUCCUUGGACUUGGCGAGUUGGAGGACGAACUCGCCGAGUAGAAGCGGGAUAAGGCACAGGGUCUAAACUUUGGACUCGGCGAGUUGGUUCCCGGACUCGGCGAGUAGACCCUGUCUGGGCAAAAACCCUAACCCAGGUGUUUGCACCCUAUUUAAACACUCUAACUUGGCCUCCCUUGCCCCUAACACUUCCAGAGAAGCUGAAGUACGAACCCUAGCCCCCUUAUUGUUCUUGUGAGUGAUUUUGGCCUUGUGAAGGUAGUUUGAAGCUUAAGAGAAGAAGAAGAAGAAAGUGGAAGAGUGCAAGGAAGGGAAGUAGAUCCGACAUCUACCCUGCAAGAGGCUUCCAUUCAGGUAGAAAAGUUCCUAUCUUGAUCAUUGGUUCAUUGGAUCCCCUUUUUGUCCCUAAUUGGUGGUUUUCAAGCCCUAAAAACCCCAAACUCCAUGUGUUUGUGCUCUAUGAUCCGGAAGGACUUCAGAUCUGGACCUUAGGGGCAUCUUAGAAGUAUAAAGUUUAUGUGGUUGGAGUUAUUGAGGCCCCUAUUGAGUGUAUGACCUCUUAAAGAGCUUGGAUUUGCCUUUUUGAGCUUAUAGGACCAUGCAUGCAUGUAAAGUUUGCAACUUUACGUGAUAAGCAUGCCCUAGGAACAUAGAUCUAUGGUUUGAAGCGUUGCAUGUCUCAGAUUUGGCCUAUAUGGGAAAUGAGUCGAAGGGACUCGGCGAGUCCCAAAGUGGAACUCGGUGAGUUCUAUGAAGAUGGCCUGGAACUCGACGAGUUGUUCUUCAAACUCAGCGAGUCAUAUGAACUGUUAUUGAAUAAAAGGGGUUUAAGUGUUGAAGGUCCAACCCUUCGUAUCUAACUUAACGUGUAGCAAUAGUCCCAAAAACCCAAAUCUUCAUAAAGGAUGCUCUAGUGAGGAUUUGGAAGCGAGUAGGAGUUCUGCUCGUGGAGACUCAGGGAGUUGUUCCCAUACUCGGCGAGUCGGAUUGCGAGUCGGUCCAAUCGUCCCAAGUAGUGAGUUAAGGGUGACUCAGUGAGUGGGAAGAGGGUCUUGGCGAGUAGGACCAGGUUAGCAGGACCCUCCCGUAAAUCAUCCAUAGCCUUGAACCANAACUGGAAGUUGACUUUGACCAAGGAGUUGACCUUGGACCAGGGGUGGGUCAGUCAUUUGACCUAAAGGUAUUUAUGAGUGUCUAAUCUAUGUUUAUGAUUUAUAGCCGGAGGAUUACCAAUUCAACAGUCAGGUGCUAGCAAGCAAAUUUUCAGCAGCUACUUUCAAGGUGAGUUGCCUUCCAGUAGCGGUGGGUCUACGGCCACAAUGCCGGCCCACCAGUAGGAGUUGUAUGUUAGAUGAUUGUCUUUGUGAUAUCAUCUAGGUUUACUACUACCUGAUAUGUUAUAUGCUGGCAUGAUAUGUUAUAUGUGAUAGUAGUAGAGUUCGGUAAUUAGGACCGAAGGGUAGGUCAGACACCCCAACUAUGUUUGACAGUAUGUGAUGAUAUGUUUAUAUGCCAGUAUGAUCUGUUAUAUGUGUUAGUGGUAGUAGGAGGGGAACAGUCCCCGAGGUUUGGUCGUUAGGAC